GUAUAUUGGCAUAUCUCUAACACCGGUCACAUCUUCGGACAUAUUCGAUGGAGUUAUGGUACAUGGUAGGCUAGUAAUAACCUUGUCGGAGCAGCUUAUGGGAUAAAGAUCUGGCUCCCAUGUGAUUUCCACAGACCCCCUCAUGUACCUCCCUCAAGGCGAAGUCUGCUUCGGAAGGUCGGAGACAUUUCAAGAGGGGCAAGGAGUACGACCUCUUGUAUAGCUUGCCUUUAUAGAGGAUAUAUCGGGAGGCCUGGUUCUUAAGCUUCCGAGCCUCUUUUGCAUC
rnacentral:lncRNA from 1 species